CAGCAGCCGCGGUAACACGGAGGGGGCUAGCGUUAUUCGGAAUUACUGGGCGUAAAGCGCACGUAGGCGGCUUCGCAAGUCAGAGGUGAAAGCCUGGGGCUCAACUCCAGAAUUGCCUUUGAGACUGCGUCGCUCGAAUCCGGGAGAGGUGAGUGGAAUUCCGAGUGUAGAGGUGAAAUUCGUAGAUAUUCGGAAGAACACCAGUGGCGAAGGCGGCUCACUGGACCGGCAUUGACGCUGAGGUGCGAAAGCGUGGGGAGCAAACAGGAUUAGAUACCCCAGUAGUCCCUGUCUCUUAUAA
rnacentral:rRNA from 1 species